UUGAACCUACGGGACGCAGCAGUGAGGAAUAUUGGUCAAUGGUCGGGAGACUGAACCAGCCACGCCGCGUGAGGGAGGAAGGUACAGAGUAUCGUAAACCUCUUUUGUCAGGGAACAAAGGCGGGGACGUGUCCCCGGAUGAGUGUACCUGAAGAAAAAGCAUCGGCUAACUCCGUGCCAGCAGCCGCGGUAAUACGGAGGAUGCGAGCGUUAUCCGGAUUUAUUGGGCGUAAAGCGAGUGCAGGCGGGU
rnacentral:rRNA from 1 species